rnacentral:lncRNA from 1 species
CCUAGUAAGAUGAAAGUAUGAAUUCCUAGGUGUAGUUAUCGUAUGAUUCAUUCCUUCUAUCAUGAGUCAUGACUUGAUGGAGGUCAUGGAGAGCUCAUCAGACUCCAUCAUCAGUCAUAUGCUAGAUUGGCUCAACUUGAGUUUAUUUGUGAAUCUUGUGAAAACUCUUUUUCAGUAUUCACACUUGCUUUGGUCAAAGACUUUCUGAACUCAGUCUCACAAAUUGCAUAGGACUUCUCCUUUUCUACCA